rnacentral:rRNA from 1 species
AUACGGAGGGUGCGAGCGUUAAUCGGAAUUACUGGGCGUAAAGCGUACGUAGGCGGUUGGUUAAGUUAGAUGUGAAAGCCCCGGGCUUAACCUGGGAACUGCAUUUAAAACUGGCGAACUAGAGUUGAGUAGAGGGGAGUGGAAUUUUAGGUGUAGCGGUGAAAUGCGUAGAGAUCUGAAGGAACACCAGUGGCGAAGGCGACUCCCUGGACUCGAACUGACGCUGAGGUACGAAAGCGUGGGUAGCAAACGGGAUUAGAAACCCUUGUAGUCC